UGACAAUUCCUUUGUAAAACCUGUCUUGGAGGACAUUGCUGAUACAGACCUCUAUCAGAAGGUUAAACAGUUGUCUGAAUGUAUCUCAUUUGAUGACCUGAUAUACGCCACAGAACCACUGCAGGACUACCUGGCAAAUGCUGGAUGUCUUAGGCCACUAAAAUGCAUUGAAGACAGAGAUCUACUAGUUGAAGAUAUUCUCAUGUUUCAGGUGGUGCACAGAGUCUGUGGGGCUUUUGAAAGAUUUAGAGAGGGACUGAAGACACUUGGUGUUUUGGAUGCAAUCAGAAUGUAUCCAGACAGCUUUAGACCCUUAAUCUGUCAUGAACCAUCCCCACUUACUGCUGACUUAGUGGAUCAGUUUUUCCACAUCCGGUUGUCUGCAGUGGGCAGCAACAAGAGAAGGGCAGAGGAAUGUGUUGUUGCAUUUUGGAGGGAUUACCUCCAGGAUGUUGAAGGUAAAUAUUGCUGCUUAAUAUAGCAUUUUCUCUUAUGAUUUGUCUUGUUUAUAAAGUGUACAAAGACUGGGGUAGGAGAAUGAAAAGGAUAACCUUUGCUAUAGUGGCACUG